CAGCACCUCAAGUGGUCAGGAUGAUUAUUGGGCCUAAAGCAUCCGUAGCCGGCUCUGUAAGUUUUCGGUUAAAUCUGUACGCUCAACGUACAGGCUGUCGGGAAUACUGCAGAGCUAGGGAGUGGGAGAGGUAGACGGUACUCGGUAGGAAGGGGUAAAAUCCUUUGAUCUAUUGAUGACCACCUGUGGCGAAGGCGGUCUACCAGAACACGUCCGACGGUGAGGGAUGAAAGCUGGGGGAGCAAACCGGAUUAGAUACCCGAGUAGUCC
rnacentral:rRNA from 1 species